UACGUAGGGGGCAAGCGUUGUCCGGAAUUAUUGGGCGUAAAGAGCGUGUAGGCGGCCAGAUAAGUCCGCUGUGAAAUCUCGAGGCUCAACUUCGAGCUGUCGGUGGAAACUAUCUGGCUAGAGUCCGGAAGAGGAGAAUGGAAUUCCUGGUGUAGCGGUGAAAUGCGCAGAUAUCGGGAGGAACACCAAUUGCGAAGGCAGCUCGCUGGGACGUCACUGACGCUGAGACGCGAAAGCGUGGGGAGCAAACAGGG
rnacentral:rRNA from 1 species